AGCUUGGCUGUCACACAAGGAAAAGGACACUUACCCAGUCAGUUCAACCACAGAUGGCCCCAGGAACUGCUGACGUGCACUUAGCCAUCGAAGGGUGCCUUCGGUGAAAGACAGUCACCAAACGUUUCAGAACAUGACUCCCACAGGAAAACAACACAAGGAGACACAAGAAACUAAUGAAAGUGGCUAUCUAUCUGGGGGAGGAGGUGGCGAGUGUGGUGGACAGAAACAAGAUUGAAACCUGGCCCAAGAAGAGACAACGCACCAACUGCAUUAGGAACGUGAGCCUGUUCGUGAAUGAGUCAAGUCUGCACGUGCCCCG
rnacentral:lncRNA from 1 species